GGAGAGGUACCGAAGCGGUUAUAACGGGCCCGACUCGAAAUCGGGUUGGCUUAACAGCCACGUGGGUUCGAAUCCCACCCUCUCCGUCA
rnacentral:tRNA from 4 species